rnacentral:rRNA from 1 species
CUGGCUCAGGAUGAACGCUAGCUACAGGCUUAACACAUGCAAGUCGAGGGGCAGCAUGGAGUUGCUUGCAAACUCUGAUGGCGACCGGCGCACGGGUGAGUAACGCGUAUCCAACCUUCCCUAUAGUAGAGGAUAGCCCGGCGAAAGUCGGAUUAAUACUCUAUGUUUUCCGUUGCAGACAUCUAAGAUGGAACAAAGGCUUGCCGCUAUAGGAUGGGGAUGCGUCUGAUUAGGUAGUCGGCGGGGUAACGGCCCACCGAGCCAUCGAUCAGUAGGGGUCCUGAGAGGAAGGUCCCCCACAUUGGAACUGAGACACGGUCCAAACUCCUACGGGAGGCAGCAGUGAGGAAUAUUGGUCAAUGGGCGAGAGCCUGAACCAGCCAAGUAGCGUGCAGGAUGACGGCCCUAUGGGUUGUAAACUGCUUUUAUGCGGGGAUAAAGUUCACUACGUGUAGUGUUUUGUAGGUACCGCAUGAAUAAGGACCGGCUAAUUCCGUGCCAGCCGCCGC